AUUGAACGCUGGCGGCAGGCUUAACACAAGCAAGUCGAGCGGGGAAGGGUAGCUUGCUACCUAACCUAGCGGCGGACGGGUGAGUAAUGCUUAGGAAUCUGCCAUUUAGUGGGGGACAACAUUCCGAAAGGAAUGCUAAUACCGCAUACGUCCUACGGGAGAAAGCAGGGGAUCUUCGGACCUUGCGCUAAAUGAUGAGCCUAAGUCGGAUUAGCUAGUUGGUGGGGUAAAGGCCUACCAAGGCGACGAUCUGUAGCGGGUCGGAGAGGAUGAUACGCCACACUGGGACUGAGACACGGCCCAGACUCCGAUGGGAGGCAGCAGUGGGGAAUAUUGGACAAUGGGCGGAAGCCUGAUCCAGCCAUGCCGCGUGUGUGAAGAAGGCCUUAUGGUUGUAAAGCACUUUAAGCGAGGAGGAGGCUACUUAGAUUAAUACUCUAGGAUAGUGGACGUUACUCGCAGAAUAAGCACCGGCUAACUCUGUGCCAGCCGCCGCGGUAA
rnacentral:rRNA from 1 species